UGUUCAGAGGGGGAGGUAGAUUUUCAAUGCUCACUUAAUUAAUAGGCAAUAUUUUUGAUUAAUCAGGUCACUUAACGAUUAUAAUUCUUUUCCAGGUGACCAUUACGGUGUGCAGUCAAUUGGGGAGUCUUGGUAUUAGCAUUGCUGGUGGAAAGGGCUCAUCUUCAUGUAAAGAAAGUGAUGAGGGGAUCCUGAUUGCACGGCUGCCAAAAGAUGGUCCACCAGACUUGGCUGGUGUACAAGCAGGAGACAGAGCAGCUGAGGCAACCUUUGUUUCAGAGCCUGCUGCCUUUGAUGCUGGUCCUACUGAAGCUUCCCCCAAGGCCAGCCCCUCCCCAAGAGUCAACCAUGUCAUAACAAUACCUCGGAUUAUCCUCACACGCCCUUCCACUUCUGAUGAAGAUGCCGACCAGUUGCCCCCAGACCCUGAAGACUUUGAGCCCGAGGAGCCUGACAGCGCAGAAGGUCAUGCCUAUUCAGACUGUCUGAGCAGUGCUUUUUAUCCUCCCUAAUAAAGUACUUUUCUGGCAGGAGUUCAUGGGUGGUUUUCUUUCAUUUAAUGUAGUACUUGAACCACUAUGCCUUAUUUAUAGUGAAAACCAUUAUGUGGAGGAUGGAUUGGUGAGGAGAACCCUCUUUUAUUUCUUGGCCUUGAACUUCCUUUGGCAAGAACUUGUGAACCGGGAAUGAAAUGCACUGGGUCAAGUUAUGUGAAUGUUACCACAUGUUUCAGUAGCCACUUGUAAAGGUACCCUGCAGCACCUAAAUAUAAUGGAAAAUAAAAGCAGGUGAUUUUUAUUCA
rnacentral:lncRNA from 1 species